UCCCCUGUAGCUCAGUUGGUAGAGCAAGCGACUGUUAAUCGCUUUGUCCGAGGUUCGAGUCCUCGCGGGGGAG
rnacentral:tRNA from 1 species